rfam:Aspergillus luchuensis DNA, map: 2-4 R, contig: AA1_SCon_021, strain: RIB 2604.
CCUCGGCUCUGAUUUCUCCUCCCGGGGAGAAAUCACCCGAAACCCCCUUGCAAAUGAGAAAUUCGGAGGAAUCUUCACCCUAUGCACCCGCCAUUUGGAAAAUGAAAUCAUUUUUCAAAUGGCCGGUACUGCCCUCAAGGGCCUGGUGUGACAUCCUUGCACACACCUGCAAUCGGCAUCAGAAACAUCGGGGGGAGGAAGGGAAGGGAUGUAAGGGUUCGCUCUUGCAUUCCUUUUCCCUUUCUCUUUUUCCCCAUGGGAGAGUCGUUGCGAAGAUUGUGUGUGCACUCGGCAACUUUUGACCGGGUGUGCGACACUUUAGUGCAAUACGCAGCAUGCCGUUUCCUGUUCUCCCCUCGCUGGGAGGAUGGGAUUGGUAUCAUUCGAUUCCGAUUAUUCUGGUGGGGG